rnacentral:tRNA from 1 species
CGGGAUGUCGUAUAGUGGUAGUACGCAUGGCUGGGGGUCAUGUAGUCCGAGUUCGAUUCUCGGCAUCCCGA